CUUAUUUGGGUCAUGAUGGUGCUCUGGCUUCAUUCGCAUUUGAGGAGACUGGGGCAACUCAGUCUGGAUUUCUAUCAACAUCUCCCCCCUAGAGAUAGUUACGGGCAUGUAAUUAUUAUAAUGCCCAGGGGGUGAGGGUCACUGAUCUCUUCUCUGAGGACUUUGAGAUCGAUGGUUUCGAUCUCCGUUCUUCCACCUCUAGGAUGG
rnacentral:lncRNA from 1 species